rnacentral:rRNA from 1 species
ACACAUGCAAGUCGAACGGAAAGGCCCUUCGGGGUACUCGAGUGGCGAACGGGUGAGUAACACGUGGGUGAUCUGCCCUGCACUUUGGGAUAAGCCUGGGAAACUGGGUCUAAUACCGAAUAUGACCGCGCACUUCCUGGUGUGUGGUGGAAAGCUUUUGCGGUGUGGGAUGGGCCCGCGGCCUAUCAGCUUGUUGGUGGGGUAAUGGCCUACCAAGGCGACGACGGGUAGCCGGCCUGAGAGGGUGACCGGCCACACUGGGACUGAGAUACGGCCCAGACUCCUACGGGAGGCAGCAGUGGGGAAUAUUGCACAAUGGGCGCAAGCCUGAUGCAGCGACGCCGCGUGAGGGAUGACGGCCUUCGGGUUGUAAACCUCUUUCAAUAGGGACGAAGCGCAAGUGACGGUACCUAUAGAAGAAGGACCGGCCAACUACGUGCCAGCAGCCGCGGUAAUACGUAGGGUCCGAGCGUUGUCCGGAAUUACUGGGCGUAAAGAGCUCGUAGGUGGUUUGUCGCGUUGUUCGUGAAAACUCACAGCUUAACUGUGGGCGUGCGGGCGAUACGGGCAGACUAGAGUACUGCAGGGGAGACUGGAAUUCCUGGUGUAGCGGUGGAAUGCGCAGAUAUCAGGAGGAACACCGGUGGCGAAGGCGGGUCUCUGGGCAGUAACUGACGCUGAGGAGCGAAAGCGUGGGGAGCGAACAGGAUUAGAUACCCUGGUAGUCCACGCCGUAAACGGUGGGUACUAGGUGUGGGUUUCCUUCCUUGGGAUCCGUGCCGUAGCUAACGCAUUAAGUACCCCGCCUGGGGAGUACGGCCGCAAGGCUAAAACUCAAAGAAAUUGACGGGGGCCCGCACAAGCGGCGGAGCAUGUGGAUUAAUUCGAUGCAACGCGAAGAACCUUACCUGGGUUUGACAUG